rnacentral:rRNA from 1 species
CACGGGGGGAGCAAGCGUUGUUCGGAAUCACUGGGCGUAAAGCGUGCGCAGGCGGUUUUGUAAGCCAGAUGUGAAAUCCCCGGGCUUAACCUGGGAAUGGCAUUUGGGACUGCAAGGCUUGAGUGCGGCAGAGGAGACUGGAAUUCCUGGUGUAGCAGUGAAAUGCGUAGAUAUCAGGAGGAACACCGAUGGCGAAGGCAGGUCUCUGGGCUGACACUGACGCUCAGGCACGAAAGCGUGGGGAGCAAACAGG